UCUGAGGCAGAGGCCAUGGAG
rnacentral:misc_RNA from 1 species